AGGAUGAAGUCUCAAGGGGAGUAGAGCCGCUGGAGGCCGCGCGGGCCCAGCCUGCUAAGGACAGGAGGGUCAAGGGAACCCCGAAGUCCUCGAAGCCCAGGAAAAAACACCGGUAUCUGAGACUACUUCCAGAGGCCUUGAUAAGGUUCGGCGGUUUCCGAAAAAGGACAAAAGCCAAGUCCUCAGUUUCCAAGAAGCCGGGAAAAGUGGAUGACAGUUUGGAGCAGCCCUGUGGUUUGGGCUGCUUAGUCAGCACCUGCUGUGAGUGUUGCAAUAACAUUCGCUGCUUCAUGAUUUUCUACUGCAUCCUGCUCAUAUGUCAAGGUGUGGUGUUUGGUCUUAUAGAUGUCAGCAUUGGCGAUUUUCAGAAGGAAUAUCAACUGAAAACCAUUGAGAAGUUGGCAUUGGAAAAGAGUUACGAUAUUUCAUCUGGCCUGGUAGCAAUAUUUAUAGCAUUCUAUGGAGACAGAAAAAAAGUAAUAUGGUUUGUAGCUUCCUCCUUUUUAAUAGGACUUGGAUCACUUGUAUGUGCUUUUCCAUCCAUUCAUGAAGAAAAUAAACAAAGUAAGGUAGGAAUUGAAGCUGGUAUCUAUUUAGGUAUUGCAGAAUGUACAUUAAUGAUUGGAUAUGCUCUGGGUUAUGUGCUAGGAGCACCACUAGUUAAAGUCC
rnacentral:sRNA from 1 species